rnacentral:rRNA from 1 species
GACGAACGCUGGCGGCGCGCUUAACACAUGCAAGUCGAACGGAAAGGCCUGCUUUCCCUUGUGGAUUGCGGGUACUCGAGUGGCGGACGGGUGAGUAACACGUGAGUGAUCUGCCCCCAACUUGGGUAUAAGCCUGGGAAACUGGGUCUAAUUCCCGAUAGGACUGCAGGGUGGUGCCUGUGGUGGAAAACGAUUUUCUAGUGGUUGGGGAUGAGCUCGCGGCCUAUCAGCUUGUUGGUGGGGUAAUGGCCUACCAAGGCGGCGACGGGUAGCCGGCCUGAGAGGGUGGACGGCCACAUUGGGACUGAGAUACGGCCCAGACUCCUACGGGAGGCAGCAGUGGAGAAUAUUGCACAAUGGGCGGAAGCCUGAUGCAGCGACGCCGCGUGGGGGAUGACGGCCUUCGGGUUGUAAACUCCUUUCGACCGCGAGGAAGCCACCUGGUUGGAAGGGUGGUGACGGUAGUGGUAGAAGAAGCACCGGCUAACUACGUG